UACAGAGGUCUCAAGCGUUGUUCGGAUUCAUUGGGCGUAAAAGGCGCGUAGGCUGCGGGGCAAGUCGGGUGUGAAAUCUCAGAGCUCAACUCUGAAACUGCACUCGAUACUGCUUUGCUCGAGGACUGGAGAGGAGAUUGGAAUUCACGGUGUAGCAGUGAAAUGCGUAGAUAUCGUGAGGAAGACCAGUGGCGAAGGCGGAUCUCUGGACAGUUCCUGACGCUGAGGCGCGAAGGCCAGGGGGAGCAAACGGG
rnacentral:rRNA from 1 species